rnacentral:rRNA from 1 species
AGGACGAACGCUGGCGGCGUGCUUAACACAUGCAAGUCGAACGAGGUCAUCCAGCUUGCUGGAGAAGCCUAGUGGCGAACGGGUGAGUAACACGUGAGCAACCUGCCCCGAAGACUGGGAUAACAGCGGGAAACCGCUGCUAAUACCGGAUAUCCCCACCGAGUCGCAUGGCUUGGUGAGGAAAGGAUUCUGCUUCGGGAGGGGCUCGCGGCCUAUCAGCUAGUUGGUGGGGUAACGCCUACCAAGGCAACGACGGGUA